CGAGCGGCGGUGCCCUGUCUAACACGUGGGCAACCUGCCUGUAAGACUGGGAUAACCCCGGGAAACCGGGGCUAAAUCCGGAUAACACCGGAGAGGUGUAGCUGUCGGGUUGAAAGAUGGCUUCUGGCUAUCACUUACAGAUGGGCCCGCGGCGCAUUAGCUAGUUGGUGAGGUAACGGCUCACCAAGGCGACGUAGCCUUGGGCACCUGAGAGGGUGAUCGGCCACACUGGGACUGAGACACGGCCCAGUGACCUACGGGAGGCAGCAGUAGGGAAUCUUCCGCAAUGGACGAAAGUCUGACGGAGCAACGCCGCGUGAACGUAGAAGGUCUAGGCUAGGUAAAGUUCUGUUCACAGGGAAGAACAAGUGCCGUGCGAAUAGAGCGGCACCUUCUGGGUACGAGACGAGGAAGCCCCGG
rnacentral:rRNA from 1 species